UCCACAGACAGGCGGUGUGGGACAAAGAAAAAACUACAUGGACCUCUGCACGUCCUGAUAAGUAUACAAAUUAGGAGCACGACAGCUAGUGGAAUUUGUUGGGGCCUCAUUGGCUCAACCUCAUGACUUAGCUGCAUUGGCCCUACACAGGGAUUAUGCCAUCACAAAACUCUUUAAAAAAAAAAGAUAUGCCAUCACAAAACUACCGUCUACCGUUGUCAUACGCGCUCCGAGGCAUUUCUGGCUUCUGGCCGUGUUAGAGCAACUCCAGGAGAUCCCCUGUAAAGCCCCCAAUAGCUAAAUUUAGGGGAUUUGGGCCUAAAACCGGCCUCCAGCGGAACCCCCAGCCCAUCCCCCAUACCGCCGAGCGCCCCAAUCCAGGUCGGGAUCCCCCAUAUGGAGGAUCGAGCUCGGGAUCCCCCAUCCCUCAACCGCCGACGCUGAAGCCUCCCUCCCGCCGAAUCCUCCUCUCCGCCCAGGAAUGGGAUUUGGGGAAUCUGCCGAAGAGAGUUGAGAUUUGGAGGGAUGAGAUUUAGGGAAUCUCUCGGAGUCGCUCUUAUCGUCUUCAUGGGCCAAGAUCGCGUACGGAGGCCAAGCCAUUGUGUGUGUGAGAGAGAGACACACAUUCAGACAUACAAAAAAUGUCGAAUCGUCGAUCUUACGUACCCAUUGGAGAUCAACGGUUGAUAUUUAGGAGGUACCCGUACCUCUCGGUACCUUCCAAUACGGUAGAAAAGCUUGCAUUAGUACUUAUUUUUAUCGGUUUUGCUAUAUCAAAGUUGCUUGAUUUUAGUUAGGAAUAAGUUGAUCGCUCAGCUGUUUGAUCUGUUUUGUGUUUUAAGAUUCGAAACAAACGAUAGAUGGAUUGAGUUUGGAUGACGUCCAACAAAUCCAACAGUUUAAUUAAAUCCGAAACUUGAGUCCUUUUAUUUUAAA